rnacentral:lncRNA from 1 species
UUUUUAUCUUUCCAGCAAUUAACUAAAAAAAAAAAAUUGCUUCUUUUCAACUUCGCCGACUUCUGUUCGUAUCUUCUCCGGCAGCACGCGACGUCUCCGGUCAUCAACUUUGAUGGCAGCACGCAGUGUCUCCAGUGCUCUCUGUGAGUCGCGACCAUCUUCUUUCAAUCACACGAUGGUCUAUUGCUCCAACCUCCACCAACGUUGUGUUCUAUAACACGUAAGCGAGUUCCGCCGAUUCCGCUAAGUCGCCAUGUCGGCGUGACCUUAGACCCUCACCGCCAACUCCGUCAAGCUUCGAUUUCAGUCAAUCAUGGAUGAAGAUGGAUUGAGCAGAUCUCAAUCAACCAUGGCUGAGCGAUUCAAUCGAAUCUGGUGGGGAAACCAACUUUUCAUUAUUUGUGUUUUUGGUCCUCAAAUGUUUUGUUUCUCUUCAUUUUAGUCCCAAACUUUCUAAUUGACAAGAUUUUUUUUUCUGUUUUCAGAUUGAACUUUUCGAUUAUGCACUUUAAACCAUGUUAGCUAAAAAUGGACAAAUAAAUACAAUAUACAUA